AAAAAUAUUAAUUUUAAAAAAAAGGUGGGGAAGAAGCAAACUCAAGCGAAUCUCCUAGAUAUAUCGAGGUUAAUUUUUCAACCCCGAAAUCAGUGAAAUCUUAGACCCGGAUUCAUUCAAGUAGUUCAAUUUCUAACCAAUUUAAUGUUGGAGAAUGAAGUUGUAAUAUAAAUCUAAAUAAAAAAAAAUUCCAAAGCAAAAAAAAUGAGGAUCAAAUCACAUAGAAAAAAAAAACAUUGAAAGAUAAUGAAAUUGUAAAAAAACUUCAAUUCUAAAAAU
rnacentral:lncRNA from 1 species